rnacentral:miRNA from 1 species
GAAAAAAAGGAGUGAAAGAGAGUGAGUGAGCAGGAGAUAGAACGAGAAUGUUGCCGUGUGAAGAUGCGAGAGGAGAAGGAGAGAAUUCUGCUUCUUUCCUUGUCCCCUCUUCCUUUUCUUUUUCUUUUUUUUUUUC